CCAUUCGCAGUACGUCACACCCCGGUCAUCUGGUGAUGGUUCAUAUUACAUCACACUGUGGCCAUUUACUCAGGGUCGGCAAGGGCAAUUUAUUCAUCUGGCAAAAUUCAGUUCCCACCCACAGGGUUACCAAACUCCAGAAGCAUUAACUAGUGGACCUUGGGAAGUGAGCAAGAUUCUUGCAUUUGACACAGUUUCUGAAAUAGUAUACUUCAAAGCAUCCCAGAAAUCACCAACACAGUCUCAUAUUUACAGGUGUUGUCCAAAUUCACUGUUCACUUCUCUGCUGCACCAGA